rnacentral:rRNA from 1 species
ACGAACGCUGGCGGCGUGCUUAACACAUGCAAGUCGAACGGAAAGGCCCUGCUUUUGUGGGGUGCUCGAGUGGCGAACGGGUGAGUAACACGUGAGUAACCUGCCCUUGACUUUGGGAUAACUUCAGGAAACUGGGGCUAAUACCGGAUAGGAGCUCCUGCUGCAUGGUGGGGGUUGGAAAGUUUCGGCGGUUGGGGAUGGACUCGCGGCUUAUCAGCUUGUUGGUGGGGUAGUGGCUUACCAAGGCUUUGACGGGUAGCCGGCCUGAGAGGGUGACCGGCCAAAUUGGGAAUGAGAUACGGCCCAGACUCCUAAGGGAGGCAGGAGGGGGGAAAAAUGCAAAAAGGGCGGAAGGCUUAAUCAGCAACGGCGGGGGCGGGAUGAAGGCCUUCGGGUUUGAAACCGCUUUCGCCUGUGACGAAGCGUGAGUGACGGUAAUGGGUAAAGAAGCACCGGCUAACUACGUG